CAGGGGGCUCAGGGCAGGGAGUUGGGGUGCAGGAGGGGUGCGAGGUGCAGGCAGGGGGCUUAGGGCUCCGUCCCUGCACUGCUUACCUAAAGCAUCUCCGGGGUGGCAGUGGCGCCCACUGGGGCCAGAGCAGGCUCCCUACAUGCCUGUCCUGGUCCCAUGCCGUGCCGCUCCAGGAAGCGGCCAGAACCACGUCCCUGCCCGGCCCCUGGAGGGGGAGAGGGGACCCAGGGCUCCAGAACACUGCCCUUGCCAUGCCUCCAGGUACCUCCCCUGAAGCUCCCAUUCACCGCGGGUCCCUGUUCCCGGCCAAUGGGAGCUGCAGGGGGCGGUGCCUGGAGGCAAGAGCAACACAUGGAGCCCUCUACCCGCCCCCAGGGACGUGGUGCCGGCCACUUCUGAGAGCGGCGCGGGGCCUGCAGCACCAAGGGGGGCAAUCCCGUGGGCCAGAUCCAAAGCCCUGAAGGGCUGGAUCCAGCCCAUAGUUUGCCUACCCCUGCUCUAGUUCCUAUUGAAUAAGUCAAAGAUUCAGCUUAAGUUGCAUUUUAGUUGUGUUGGAGAAUAAUUUACUAGCGAUAACUUGAGAAAUAUUCACACUUAGAGAACUGAGCCUGGAAGCUCUUUGCAGCAGGCUAUGUGCAUUUCCCUUUGUAGGAUCAAGCACGUUUUUGGGACUUAAAUAAUAAAUCAUCCUCCGCUGUAGGCUGCAGCUCAUUAGGGAGUAGCAUGUCAAAUACCAGUAAGAAGGUCCAACACUCCAUUGGUUAGAGGGCAGCAGUGCACAUACUGAGACAGGCAAAAGUUAAUGUCAUGUAGGUAAGUGAAAAUAAGCCACUGGAUGAGAAGAUAAAGGACUGAAAGAUAUUCCUCAGAUGGAGGAGAAACAGAAUAUCCUCCUGGGGAGAUGCUCACAUUGUUAAUAGCAUCAACUAGGAGUUACUUAAAAUUCUUUUUUUUUUUUUUUUUUUUAAAUAAAAAACCCUCUCAACUUUCUACCCAAGACAAAAAUAUCAGCAUUUUACGUUAUUUAUUUCCCCCCGCCCCAAAUAUUGAUUUUUCUCAUUGCAUAACAUUUUCAGCAAGUGUAUUCAACUUCCUUCACCAGACAUCUCAAAAACCAGUUCUUUUCUUGGACAAAAACAAAAAAAAUGAGCGUCAAAUCAGACCUUUCAUUUGCCUCUACAGUCUAAUCCAGUCUCCUUUGAGUUUAUGACUGUUUUAGCUGAGCACUUUUCAAAUUAAUUUAAGCUCACGUGUUUUUCCCCCCCUACAUCCCCUAGUCAGCAGGAACUUUUUUGGCUGGUGUUAUAUAAGGUUAUGUCAACGUGGACAUUCUGUUUUAUCUGAAGGUGCUGAGGUUCAUGGCAAUUCUGAUGUCUUCCAGGAACAGCUUCCACAGUAAUGGGGUAGUUGCUGAGUAAGCUGUCUCCAGCACUCAGACUCAUCCUUGAUAUAAACAGUUUAAUUGUUCCAGGGAAACAUAGCUGUUGUGAGAUAUGAUGAUCACAGAGCAUGACAUGAUCUUUCAGAUUGACUUCACUGACAAAAUUAUGCCCUGGUGUCUAGUUGUCCUCUUUGCUUAUGUGACUUACAAUAGCCUUUCUUACCAGCAUUGUGAUAUAGAUAUAACUCACAGUUCAGCUGCAUUGCCCACCAAACCCCCAUAUUAUAGUACUUAAACUAAGGCCUUGUCUUCACUGCUAAAAAAGGUGUGUGUUUUUUACCUCAGGGUAACUAACACAAAUGAGCUAUCCAGAGAUAAAAAAUACAGUAAAGACCUGACACUUCAGUUUUAUUGUAAGGUAAACAGCUCUAUAUUUCCUCCAUAGGUUGAUCUCAGCAAGUUUACCUCAUGGUAAAACUGAAGUGGCCAGGUCUUCGCAGUGUUUUUACCUCAGGACAGCUCAUCUGUGUUGGUUACCAUGAAGUUUAAAAAAAACACCACAUGAAAACACACACCUUUUUAGUGGUGAAGACAAGGCCUAAGUUGCAGCCUGCUUGUGACUGCCCCCGACACCUUGAUUCCUUUUUAUAUGCCUAUUCUUGUACUGAACUUAACAUUGUAGUAGCUCAGACCAAUCCAAGGAGGAAAAAAAAGGGACAAACUCAUGUAUGGUCGCUUCUCUUAACUGUAAAAGGAAAUUACAUUUGUUUUUAUAAAACGCUGGUUUGCUAUGUGCCACUGUUUGUGGAGACUAAGUUGAAGUUAGUUUCCUUACUUGAUCAACUAGCUAGUUCACAACAUUCUAUUGCCAAAUUACUAGGUAAUAAACAUUUUGUCCAAUUUUUUGACAGAGUGCUAGCUAUGGCAUCCUGGUCAUUUAGGUAACUGCGUAACAGAGAAGGUGUGCUAAUAAUAAUCAGCCAAACAACACCACAGGACUUAAGCUAUUUCUGUCAAAGUGUUUUGUUGGGAACAACUCUUUCCCCCAUAUUAAGUAGAAUCACUUUUCUCUAUGUUACCAAGCCUUUGAUAGACAUUCUAGACAGAAGUCAUGUGUACAAAAUACUAAAAAAAAAAAAAAAAAAAAAAGAUUAUGUAUUCAAAACAUUUUGGGA